rnacentral:rRNA from 1 species
GCCAGACUCCUACGGGAGGCAGCAGUGAGGAAUAUUGGUCAAUGGGCGAGAGCCUGAACCAGCCAAGUCGCGUGAGGGAAGACGGUCCUAUGGAUUGUAAACCUCUUUUGCCGGGGAGCAAAAAGCGGUACGUGUACCGCAUCGAGAGUACCCGGAGAAAAAGCAUCGGCUAACUCCGUGCCAGCAGCCGCGGUAAUACGGAGGAUGCGAGCGUUAUCCGGAUUUAUUGGGUUUAAAGGGUGCGUAGGCGGGCUGUUAAGUCGGCGGUAAAAGCCCGGGGCUCACCCCCGGCGAGCCGUUGAAACUGUGUCCCUUGAGUGCGCGAAGGGUAGGCGGAAUGCGUGGUGUAGCGGUGAAAUGCAUAGAUAUCACGCAGAACUCCGAUCGCGAAGGCAGCCUACCGGCGCGCUACUGACGCUCAUGCACGAAAGCGUGGGUAUCGAACAGGAUUAGAUACCCCCGUACG